ensembl:lncRNA
AUCAGAUUCGGUGUUUGGAUCAUGCAUAUUCUGAUUUCAGUAUUUCUUUUGGCAACAGGUACCUGUGAGGCAUUGUUUUGGCAGAAGCUGACAUGUCCUUAUGAAGUGAAGUACAAGAGCCUUCUGAGGGUUUGGUGUCAGCAGAACUCUGCCGAGUGCUGCACCGGCCUCACCUUCAGUCACAGUGAACGCUUGGUGGAUGGAGGGAAACUGAAGGUGACCCAGGAUGUGAGCUCCUUCACUGUGGAAGUGUUGGAGCCAAACCACAAACAAGGAGUGUACUGGUGUGGUUUGCUGAGCAGGAAUGGCACCAUCAUCAAGCUGGCUGAAGGCUACAUCCACAACUCUACUGCUUCAUAUAUCUGGAGCUUAAUUCGCUGGAUUCUGCUCCCUCUGCUGCCCAUAGUGACCACACUUACCCGCAUGUACCUGAAAACAACAAAAAAACACCUUUUUAAGAAAGCAGAUGGACUUUAUGACGACGUGGGCAGAGCUGUGACUGAGCAGGAGUAUGAAAAUGCAGAAUCUCUGCUGUGAAAUGCUGGCACAAGGAGCGUUGGCAGAGUCUUUACAUGUAAUGGAAUAACUGAAUUAUUCAAUCUGAAAUUCUAAUCAAUUACUGAGAAAAAACAACAGUUAAAUUACAAUUGCCAAUGAAAAUGUUCAAUUCAAAUCAUUUUUUUUAAAUAGAGCAACAAUUCACAGCAGGAGUGGCUUCACAGUUCUGUAUAUUGUUAGCCAAUGACCCUACAUAUGGUUUUCACAAAAUGUCCAACUGUAAGCUGGCUAAUGUGAAGCAUAAAGUUUCUUUGCACUGUUUUGAAGCCACCAGGGGUUG